CAACUUCUCCUCCAGCGCCCUGUGCAGAGUGACUUACGAUUGCGUCUCACAGAAUGAGGCUUAUCCCUGAGGCUGCUUGGAAAUUGACAAUUCGGGAAGAAUCAAUGGAGAGCUGCAUUUUUGAUGGAUGAACCAUUAGAAAAUUCUACAGCAUUUUUCCCAUGACCUUUCCUGAAGACAGAUGAAUAGCCUUUCAAAGGGAUACAAUAGGAAAGAAGAAAUUAAGGGAUGUCCCUGAAGAGACGGACAACUAGAAGUGGGAAAGAGGAAACGGUAGAAGUGUAGCGGAGCCCACGUGGACCUUCACAUUGAGGAAGAUAUUAGAUGGCCCGUGUGGACACCAGAGUCUCAGGGUCCCCUGGUCUCUUAUUUAGACAUCUGGUCAACAUCCAUUUAAAGGAGAAGGUGCAGGAGGGUGUGGGAGCGUGUACCAGCCUGCCCUUCUGUGAAAGACCUUCUGUUACUGUGGAGUAAGUUACUCAGGGCUCUCACCUCCCACUCCAGGUACCUAUUGGAACAGUCCUUCCAGCAGCUCCUAACGUUUUCUUCCAGGACAGUUUGGGUGGACACGGUCUUCUGUGCUCAUGAAAUUUCUAGUGCUGAGUCACUGUCCCGACCUUUUCCCACCCCUUUACAUUCACUCCCCAAGAAGCGACCCUGAUGACCCGUCUUGAAUCCACUUUUCCAGCCAGUGCUGUUACAAACAAGAAUUGCACAUAUAUACAUAUAUGUGUACAAUAUAUAUGUAUAUAUGUGUGUGCAAUAUAUAAGUAUAUAUGUGUGCAAUAUAUAUGUAUAUAUAUGUGCAAUAUGUAUAUGUGUGUGUAUAUAUAUAUAUUUGUAUUUAGUGCAUUUAUUUAUUUAUUUAUUUUUUAUUCCCAUAGGUUUUUGGGGAACAGGUGGUAUUUGGUUAUAUGAGUAAGUUCUUCAGUGGUGAUUUGUGAGAUUCUGGUGCGCCCAUCACCCAAGCCAUAUACAUUGAACCCAAUUUGUAGUCUUUAAUCCCUCACCCCCUUCCCACCCUUUCCCCCUGAGUCCCCAAAGUCCAUUGUAUCAUUUGUAUGCCUUUGCAUCCUCAUAGCUCAGCUCCCACUUAUGAGUGAAAACAUAUGAUGUUUGGCUUUCCAUUCCUGAGUUACUUCACUUAGAAUAAUAGUCUCCAAUGUUAUCCAAGUUGCUGUGAGUGCCAUUAAUUCAUUCCUUUUUAUGGCUCAGUAGUAUUCCAUCGUAUGCACCACAGCUUCUUUACCCACUCAUUGAUGGAUGGGCAUUUGGGUUGAUUCCACAUUUUUGCAAAAAAAAAUGCAUAUUUUGAAGCAACG
rnacentral:lncRNA from 10 species